GCCGGGCAUGGUGGCGCACACCUUUAAUCCCAGCACUUGGGAGGCAGAGGCAGGCGGAUUUCUGAGUUCGAGGCCAGCCUGGUCUACAAAGUGAGUGCCAGGACAGCCAGGGCUACACAGAGAAACCCUGUCUCGAAAAACUGUGUAGCCCUGGCUGUCCUGGAACUCACUCUGUAGACCAGGCUGGCCUUGAACUCAGAAAUCGGCCUGCCUCUG
rnacentral:SRP_RNA from 1 species